rnacentral:rRNA from 1 species
CCUACGGGGGGCUGCAGUGAGGAAUAUUGGUCAAUGGCCGGAAGGCUGAACCAGCCAUGCCGCGUGAAGGUCAGUGCCCUAUGGGCGUUAAACUUCUUGUGAGGGGGAAGAGCAGUAGACGGUACCCCUUGAAUAAGCCACGGCUAACUACGGGCCAGCAGCCGCGGUAAUACGUAGGUGGCAAGCGUUGUCCGGAUUUACUGGGGGUAAAGGGCGUGCAGCCGGAGAGACAAGUCAGAUGUGAAAUCCACGGGCUCAACCCGUGAGCUGCAUUUGAAACUGUUUCCCUUGAGUGUCGGAGAGGUAAUCGGAAUUCCUUGUGUAGCGGUGAAAUGCGUAGAUAUAAGGAAGAACACCAGUGGCGAAGGCGGAUUACUGGACGAUAACUGACGGUGAGGCGCGAAAGCGUGGGGAGCAAACAGGAUUAGAUACCCGAGUAGUC